UUGAUUUCAUCAGAUUUGAUGGUUUACUUCCGAAAUUCUCUGUUGUCAGGUUCUGUUCAAAGUCCGGUGGUGAUUUGAGAGGAAUGGAUGACAGGAUGGUCUCCUUCCUCGAUAACCUGCAGAAUCCGGACAACAUCUCUUACCUCUCACAUAGAGAGGCUUCUGAGACUGACAAGAUACUCAUGGGCCCUCUCAACUUCAGUGUUGAUCAACAGAUGGAGCUAAUAGGCUUGAAUGUCACAAUGUCAAUAGUAGAGGUCAAGUCUAUUUACAUAUUAUCUGAUUAGUUACUUGCUGUGAUAUUUCUGAGCACUUAUUUGUUA